rnacentral:rRNA from 1 species
CCUACGGGUGGCAGCAGUGGGGAAUAUUGGGCAAUGGGCGCAAGCCUGACCCAGCAACGCCGCGUGAAGGAAGAAGGCUUUCGGGUUGUAAACUUCUUUUCUCAGGGACGAAGCAAGUGACGGUACCUGAGUACUACGCCACGGCUACCUACGUGCCAGCAGCCGCGGUACUACGUAGGUGGCAAGCGUUAUCCGGAUUUACUGGGGGUAAAGGGCGUGUAGGCGGGGAUGCAAGUCAGAUGUGAAAACCACGGGCUCCACCUGUGGCCUGCAUUUGAUACUGUGUUUCUUGAGUACUGGAGAGGCAGACGGAAUUCCAAGGGUAGCGGUGAAAUGCGUAGAUAUUAGGAGGAACACCAGUGGCGAAGGCGGUCUGCUGGACAGAAACUGACGCUGAGGCGCGAAAGCGUGGGGAGCAAACAGGAUUAGAUACCCUAGUAGUC